rnacentral:rRNA from 1 species
CACGUAGGAGGCGAGCGUUGUCCGGAAUCAUUGGGCGUAAAGAGCGCGCAGGCGGCCCGGCAAGUCGGGUGUGAAAUCCCGGGGCUCAACUGGGGAGGGUCACGCGAUACUGAUCGACUCGAAGGCAGGAGAGGGUAGUGGAAUUCCCGGUGUAGUGGUGAAAUGCGUAGAUAUCGGGAGGAACACCAGUGGCGAAGGCGACUACCUGGCCUGUUCUUGACGCUGAGGCGCGAAAGCUAGGGGAGCAAACGGGG